CAGUAGCCGCGGUAAUACGUAGGUGGCAAGCGUUGUCCGGAAUUAUUGGGCGUAAAGCGCGCGCAGGUGGUUUAAUAAGUCUGAUGUGAAAGCCCACGGCUCAACCGUGGAGGGUCAUUGGAAACUGUUAAACUUGAGUGCAGGAGAGAAAAGUGGAAUUCCUAGUGUAGCGGUGAAAUGCGUAGAGAUUAGGAGGAACACCAGUGGCGAAGGCGACUCUCUGGUCUGUAACUGACGCUGAGGAGCGAAAGCGUGGGGAGCGAACAGGAUUAGAUACCCGGGUAGUCCCUGUCUCUUAUAC
rnacentral:rRNA from 1 species